CCUUGUGCAAGGGCUCUAAGAAAUCGAAAGCAGUACAGGCUUCAAGAAGGCGACUAUCCAUUGUUCGAGCAGGUGGAUGUCCGUUCGGCUUCAAGAGCACCAUGGAGAAAGGAGCACAACGGGAAUCUUCGAUGGAAACUAACGUAGCUGCGACAGCAAGCCCUCUCGUAAUCACACCACACGCUCCAGUUCCAUCUGCUGCUGAUGCCCCAGACGAAGUGAACCUCGGACCCGUUUGUUUGUGGAAAAGGGUUCCGCAGAGCAUCAACAGUGAAUGAACCACCAGUAUUACCAACACGGAGAUGUCGAUCAAGAGCGUUUCAGUUCAUGAUUCCGUGGGACGGCUAGCGCAUUCCCGAAGAUAUUUGAGAGCAAUGUCAUUGAAGCAUGCCAUAGUCUUGUACCUGGUGAUGGAUGUUGGAUGAACAUCCAAACACAUUAUACUCGAAGAUCCAUUCGUCCUCAGUAUACAAGUUCAUGUUCGAUGGAUCCAUAGUGUGGCGAUAAGUGUUAGACAAUCAGAGAGUGUAAGUUGAUUAGAGAGAGAAUACGAAAAGUGUUGAGCUUUGAUGUCACUAAAGGAGUUUACAAUGGAAUAAAGAAAGUGUUUAAUACCUUA